rnacentral:rRNA from 1 species
GACGAACGCUGGCGGCGUGCUUAACACAUGCAAGUCGAACGGAAAGGCCCUGCUUUUGUGGGGUGCUCGAGUGGCGAACGGGUGAGUAACACGUGAGUAACCUGCCCUUGACUUUGGGAUAACUUCAGGAAACUGGGGCUAAUACAGGAUAGGAGCUCCUGCUGCAUGGUGGGGGUUGGAAAGUUUCGGCGGUUGGGGAUGGACUCGCGGCUUAUCAGCUUGUUGGUGGGGUAGUGACUUAGCAAGGCUUUGACGGGUAGCCGGCCUGCGAGGGUGACCGGCCACAUUGGGACUGAGAUACGGCCCAGACUCCUACGGGAGGCAGCAGUGGGGAAUAUUGCACAAUGGGCGGAAGCCUGAUGCAGCAACGCCGCGUGCGGGAUGACGGCCUUCGGGUUGGAAACCGCUUUCGCCUGUGACGAAGCGUGAGUGACGGUAAUGGGUAAAGAAGCACCGGCUAACUACGUG